rnacentral:pre_miRNA from 1 species
CCUCCGUAGGCUGCCGGCCCCCACGCUGGGCUGGGCGAGUAUCUCUUCAAGAGACUCACCCUCAAUCACAACUAGGAGC